rnacentral:rRNA from 1 species
GACGAACGCUGGCGGCGUGCUUAACACAUGCAAGUCGAACGGAAAGGCCCUGCUUUGGUGGGGUGCUCGAGUUGCGAACGGGUGAGUAACACGUGAGUAACCUGCCCUGUACUUUGGGAUAACUUCAGGAAACUGGGGCUAAUACCGGAUAGGAGCUGCUGCUGCAUGGUGGGGGUUGGAAAGUUUCGGCGGUUUGGGAUGGACUCGCGGCUGAUCAGCUUGUUGGUGGGGUAGUGGCUUAACAAGGCUUUGACGGGUAGCCGGCCUGAGAGGGUGACCGGCCACAUUGGGAAUGAGAUACGGCACAGACGCCUACGGGAGGAAGGAGUGGGGAAUAAUGCAGAAUGGGCGGAAGCGUGAUGAAGCAACGCCGCGUGCGGGAUGCCGGCCUUCGGGUUGUAAGCCGCUUUCGCCUGUGACGAAGCGUGAGGGAGGGUAAUGGGUAAAGAAGCACCGGCUAACUACGU